GACCCCAGGUCAGGCGGGACUACCCGCUGAAUUUAAGCAUAUCAAUAAGCGGAGGA
rnacentral:rRNA from 1 species